ensembl:lncRNA
GUUGUGUUUACUAAUCGGCAGGCGGUUGAGGCCUACUCUUCCCUUGAAAAAAAAAAAAAAGCUUCUCUCUGGUAAAUAAAUAAUGUUGCACUGGAAUAGUUUAGCAGAGUUUUAUUGUACAUAAACCUUGUUCAGCAUCUUCACAUGUAACACAGCGUAAUGACACUAACAUCUUGAAGGAUUUCUGGGCAGUGGAGUGUUAAACGGCCCCGGCAAGAGUGGCUCCCCCCACACACACUCACUGCCAGCCGAACCAAAUUGUACUUUAACUCCAGGAAAGAUGAAAUGCUGCCUCUCAUGAGGGUUGCUGUCUAUCCGGCAUCUCGCCGACAUUUAUGGAAGAAGAACUCGCCGUUGCAUGGCUUCCGCUCGACUGACAAGCUCUGAAAAAAGCAAAGACAUGAAAGACAUGAAUGAUACCUUAAAUCAUGUGGCUUGUUGAAGACAGAUGAAUGAAAAUCCUUCAUCCUCAGAACGACAUGAGGAUGCCGAAAAAUAGACUGAUGCAAAGUGGAGCCUGUCAAGCCAAUGAGGACAGAAGAUGAAGACAGGACCGCCGAAAUAAGGGUUCUCCAGAUCAAUCAGUUGGUUUCUGGGUUCUCAUAACUGCAGCAGGAGUCUGCAACCUUUGACCUGCCUGUCACUGUUGACGUGCAAGUGCAAUAGUGAUAUAAAAUGUGUUUAUUUUAGUUUCUCUUGCAUCACAUGUCAAACUACCAUUUACUCUAAUAAAAUGUUGGGCAUCCAGUGGGUCACACAGUGACACUGGUGAUGUUUUUGCUCUCAGAACAGUAUUUUAUAUUUUGCAAUUUUUGUUAUUAGUUGUCCCCAAG